rnacentral:lncRNA from 1 species
CACAAUAAAAAAAGACACCAAAUUUUGAAUUCUUGGGUUCCAUCGUUGAACACGGUGGACGUCGCCGCAGAGGUCAAGUGCUUGAAGCGAUUGAUCGGUAUGAGAUGCUCGAACGUCUAUGAUAUUUCUACUCUCAGAACUCUGAAUCAAAGGUGGAUCAAACACAAACCCGACAGCACCAUUGAACCGUAUACGUUCUUUCACCAAGUAUAUUGUUUUGGCUUCCUUCAUGAUAUAUGAUUAGCUUGCUUAAAAAUCUAAUUGUUGCUGCUCUCGUCUAGGUGGAGUCCUC